GAUGAACGCUGGCAGGCGUGCCUAACACAUGCAAGUCGAGCGAAGCGCCGUUACUUGAUUUCGUUCGGGAUAGAAAGUAUUGUGACUGAGCGGCGGACGGGUGAGUAACGCGUGGAUAACCUGCCUCAUACAGGGGGAUAACAGUUAGAAAUAGGUGCUAAUACCGCAUAAGCGCACGGUGUCGCAUGACACAGUGUGAAAAGCCUCGACGGUAUACGAUGGACCCGCGUCUGAUUAGCUAGUUGGUGAGGUAGUAGCUCACCAAGGCGACGAUCAGUAGCCGGCCUGAGAGGGUGACCGGCCACAUUGGGACUGAGACACGGCCCAA
rnacentral:rRNA from 1 species